rnacentral:rRNA from 1 species
CCCUUAGAUGUUCUGGGCCGCAUGCGCGCUACACUGACGAAUGCAACGAGCUUAUAACCUUGGCCGAAAGGUCUGGGUAAUCUCCAAAUUUCGUCGUGAUGGGGAUAGAUUAUUGCAAUUAUUAAUCUUCAACGAGGAAUGCCUAGUAAGCGCAAGUCAUCAGCUUGCGUUGAUUACGUCCCUGCCCUUUGUACACACCGCCCGUCGCUCCUACCGCUUGAAUGGUCCGGUGAAGCGUUCGGACCGUGGCCUUUGGACGGUUCGCCGUCUGUUGGCUGCGGGAAGUUCGUUAAACCUUAUCAUUUAGAGGAAGGAGAAGUCGUAACA